rnacentral:rRNA from 1 species
UAGGGAAUCUUCCGCAAUGGGCGAAAGCCUGACGGAGCAACGCCGCGUGAGUGAUGAAGGUCUUCGGAUCGUAAAACUCUGUUAUUAGGGAAGAACAAAUGUGUAAGUAACUAUGCACGUCUUGACGGUACCUAAUCAGAAAGCCACGGCUAACUACGUGCCAGCAGCCGCGGUAAUACGUAGGUGGCAAGCGUUAUCCGGAAUUAUUGGGCGUAAAGCGCGCGUAGGCGGUUUUUUAAGUCUGAUGUGAAAGCCCACGGCUCAACCGUGGAGGUUCAUUGGAAACUGGAAAACUUGAGUGCAGAAGAGGAAAGUGGAAUUCCAUGUGUAGCGGUGAAAUGCGCAGAGAUAUGGAGGAACACCAGUGGUGAAGGCGACUUUCUGGUCUGUAACUGACGCUGAUGUGCGAAAGCGUGGGGAUCAAACAGG